rnacentral:rRNA from 1 species
ACGAUGAAUCUUCUAGCUUGCUAGAAGUGGAUUAGUGGCGCACGGGUGAGUAAUGCAUAGGUUAUGUGCCCUUUAGUCUGGGAUAGCCACUGAAAACGGUGAUUAAUACUGGAUACUCCCUACGGGGGAAAGUUUUUCGCUAAAGGAUCAGCCUAUGUCCUAUCAGCUUGUUGGUGAGGUAAUGGCUCACCAAGGCUAUGACGGGUAUCCGGCCUGAGAGGGUGAUCGGACACACUGGAACUGAGACACAGUCCAGACUCCUACGGGAGGCAGCAGUAGGGAAUAUUGCUCAAUGGGGGAAACCCUGAAGCAGCAACGCCGCGUGGAGGAUGAAGGUUUUAGGAUUGUAAACUCCUUUUGUUAGAGAAGAUUAUGACGGUAUCUAACGAAUAAGCACCGGCUAACUCCGUGCCAGCAGCCGCGGUAAUACGGAGGGUGCAAGCGUUACUCGGAAUCACUGGGCGUAAAGAGUGCGUAGGCGGGGUAAUAAGUCAGAUGUGAAAUCCUGUAGCUUAACUACAGAACUGCAUUUGAAACUGUUACUCUGGAGUGUGGGAGAGGUAGGUGGAAUUCUUGGUGUAGGGGUAAAAUCCGUAGAGAUCAAGAGGAAUACUCAUUGCGAAGGCGACCUGCUGGAACAUUACUGACGCUGAUGCACGAAAGCGUGGGGAGCAAACAGGAUUAGAUACCCUGGUAGUCCACGCCCUAAACGAUGGAUGCUAGUUGUUGCCUUGCUUGUCAGGGCAGUAAUGCAGCUAACGCAUUAAGCAUCCCGCCUGGGGAGUACGGUCGCAAGAUUAAAACUCAAAGGAAUAGACGGGGACCCGCACAAGCGGUGGAGCAUGUGGUUUAAUUCGAAGAUACGCGAAGAACCUUACCUAGGCUUGACAUUGAUA